rnacentral:snRNA from 1 species
AUGCCCACUUGAGCUGCACACAGACUAACAUGGGGAGGAGACAAACGAUUAGCAUGGCCCUGGGCAAGGAUGGCACGCACUUUCCCGAAAUGUUCCCUGUUUAC